CCACUGACCCAGCCGUCAUCAUAAGUGAUUUACGCAUGCGCAGAAGAGCGUGCGUGCGUGCAAUGCGAACCGGUAGUUAUGCGGCAAUCCUGUGAGGUGGGUCUGGGCUGAGAGAGAGAGUGACUGGUCCAAAGUCACUCAAGCUGACUUUCCUGCCUAAGGCAAGACUAGAACUCACAGUCUCCUGGUUUCUAGGCCAGCAGCUUAACUACUAACCAAACUGUUUCUCAAUGCAAUGAUUUGCUGAGGUUUUGAGUUACUUAUCCUCCUAGCCUUCCAAACUGGCUUUUCCCACAAGAGCUGGGAGUGGGUGAGAUGGACAAGAAGAUUUAAUGAAGCACUGAAUGUGGAAGCUUAACUUCGGAAGCUUAAACAUUAAAUAUUUAUGGCUUUAAUA